CCUACGGGAGGCUGCAGUGAGGAAUAUUGGUCAAUGGACGAGAGUCUGAACCAGCCAAGUAGCGUGAAGGAUGACUGCCCUAUGGGUUGUAAACUUCUGUUAUAAAGGAAUAAAACGAGGCACGUGUGCCUUUUUGCAUGUACUUUAUGAAUAAGGAUCGGAUAACUCCGUGCCAGCAGCCGCGGUAAUACGGAGGAUCCGAGCGUUAUCCGGAUUGAUUGGGUUUAAAGGGAGCGUAGAUGGGUUGUUAAGUCAGUUGUGAAAGUUUGCGGCUCAACCGUAAAAUUGCAAUUGAUACUGGCAGUCUUGAGUACAGUUGAGGUAGGCGGAAUUCGUGGUGUAGCGGUGAAAUGCUUAGAUAUCACGAAGAACCCCGAUUGCGAAGGCAGCUUACUAAACUGUGACUGACAUUGAUGCUCGAAAGUGUGGGUAUCAAACAGGAUUAGAUACCCUUGUAGUC
rnacentral:rRNA from 1 species